CUGGUAGAACUGCUUCCCUGUGAUUUUGUGGUCAAAGCCCAGCCAGCUGAACUUGAUCUUCACACUGAGAAAGCAGAGGAGGAGAGGGGGAUGAAAAGGAGACAUAAAGGAAUUGCUCCUUUCCUGCACACAAGCAGAGGUCCAACCAAUCCAGAGGUGGUGUCCUUGGCAGGAUCGGUGCCAGAGAAGUACAAGUAGGGAAUACAGGGAGAGUCAUAUGAAGACGGGCCUUCCAGUACCUGCCAGAUGUAGGUGAAGUUCUGACCUGGACCAACGUGGGAGCCUGGCUUGUUAACACCUACAGUAAUGCAGACAUAGAACUAAAAUGAUCAGGCCCGCUAGAAUUAGCAUCAGUUGAAGAAGUUGUGAUUCUCCCAUCACUUUGCUUAGUGCCUAAAAACAAUAGUAACUGUAUUGUUGUCAUUAUGCAUGUUGUCAGCUUGAAUGAUUUAAAACAACUGAUUUUUAGAAAUAGGCUUCUGCUAUUUAAGAAUGCACCCAAAAAACUUGCAAUGUCUGUCUUCUUUCACAUUCUAGUUCAGGCACAAACAUUUUUUUUGGUUUACUUUACUUUGUGUUACUAAUUGUUACCAUUUUGAAUUUGUGCAUACAUUUUCAUCUCGUCAAACUUUUCAGCAAGAAUUCUCCCAGUUAAGACAAUUCUGUGACCAAUUAA